UACGGAGGGAGCUAGCGUUGUUCGGAAUUACUGGGCGUAAAGGGCUCGUAGGCGGCCAACUAAGUCCGACGUGAAAUCCCAAGGCUUAACCUUGGAACUGCGUCGGAUACUGGAUGGCUUGAAUUCGGGAGAGGGAUGCAGAAUUCCAGGUGUAGCGGUGAAAUGCGUAGAUAUCUGGAGGAAUACCGGUGGCGAAGGCGGCAUCCUGGACCGACAUUGACGCUGAUGGACGAAAGCUAGGGGAGCGAAUGGG
rnacentral:rRNA from 1 species